rnacentral:RNase_P_RNA from 1 species
GAAGCAGAACAGACAGUCGCCGCGUUUCACCUGUUGAAACGGGGAGGAAAGUCCGGGCUCCAGAGAGCAUGGUGCUGGAUAACGUCCAGCGGGGGUGACCCCAGGGAAAGUGCCACAGAGAGAAGUCCGCCCGCUAUAUGCGGGUAAGGGUGAAAGGGUGAGGUAAGAGCUCACCGGGUUCGGCGGUGACGCCGGAUGCCAGGUAAACCCCACCAGGAGCAAGACCAAAUAGGGGAGCAUCAAGGGCUGCUCGCCCGCGCUUCCGGGUUGGUUGCUUGAGGUCGUCGGUAACGGCGAUCCUAGAUGAAUGACUGUCACCUCCUUCAAGGUAACUUGGGAGAGGAACAGGACCCGGCUUACGGUCUGCUUCAGCC